UACAGAGGUCUCAAGCGUUGUUCGGAUUCAUUGGGCGUAAAGGGUGCGUAGGCGGCGCGGUAAGUCGGGUGUGAAAUCUUGGAGCUUAACUCCGAAACUGCAUUCGAUACUGCCGUGCUUGAGGACUGGAGAGGAGACUGGAAUUUACGGUGUAGCGGUGAAAUGCGUAGAUAUCGUAAGGAAGACCAGUGGCGAAGGCGGGUCUCUGGACAGUUCCUGACGCUGAGGCGCGAAAGCGUGGGGAUCAAACAGG
rnacentral:rRNA from 1 species